UACAAAGAUAGGACCUCGCUGC
rnacentral:piRNA from 1 species